rnacentral:rRNA from 1 species
GACGAACGCUGGCGGCGUGCCUAAUACAUGCAAGUAGAACGCACAGUUUAUACCGUAGCUUGCUACACCAUAGACUGUGAGUUGCGAACGGGUGAGUAACGCGUAGGUAACCUGCCUGGUAGCGGGGGGUAACUAUUGGAAACGAUAGCUAAUACCGCAUAAUAUUGAUUAUUGCAUGAUAAUUGAUUGAAAGAUGCUAUUGCAUCACUACCAGAUGGACCUGCGUUGUAUUAGCUAGUAGGUGAGGUAACGGCUCACCUAGGCGACGAUACAUAGCCGACCUGAGAGGGUGAUCGGCCAAACUGGGACUGGGACACGGCCCAGACUCCUACGGGAGGCAGCAGGAGGGAAUCUUCGGCAAUGGACGAAAGUCUGACCGAGCAACGCCGCGUGAGUGAAGAAGGGUUUCGGAUCGUAAAGCUCUGUUGUAAGAGAAGAACGGGUGUGAGAGUGGAAAGUUCACACUGUGACGGUAUCUUACCAGAAAGGGACGGCUAACUACGUG